rnacentral:rRNA from 1 species
UACGUAGGGUCCAAGCGUUAUCCGGAAUCACUGGGCGUAAAGCGUGCGUAGGCGGCGUGUUAAGUGAGAUGUUAAAUCGUGUGGCUCAACCAUAUCGAUGCAUUUCAUACUGGCAUGCUAGAGGAAGGCAGAGGCAAGUGGAAUUGGCAGUGUAGCAGUGAAAUGCGUAGAUAUCUGGAGGAACACCGGUGGCGAAGGCGGCAUCCUGGACCGGCAUUGACGCUGAGGAGCGAAAGCCAGGGGAGCAAACGGG